UACGUAGGUGGCGAGCGUUAUCCGGAAUUAUUGGGCGUAAAGAGCGCGCAGGUGGUUGAUUAAGUCUGAUGUGAAAGCCCACGGCUUAACCGUGGAGGGUCAUUGGAAACUGGUCAACUUGAGUGCAGAAGAGGGAAGUGGAAUUCCAUGUGUAGCGGUGAAAUGCGUAGAGAUAUGGAGGAACACCAGUGGCGAAGGCGGCUUCCUGGUCUGUAACUGACACUGAGGCGCGAAAGCUAGGGGAGCAAACAGG
rnacentral:rRNA from 1 species